GACGUAGGGCGCGAGCGUUGUCCGGAUUUAUUGGGCGUAAAGAGCUCGUAGGCGGCUUGUCGCGUCGGAUGUGAAAGCCCGGGGCUUAACUCCGGGUCUGCAUUCGAUACGGGCAGGCUAGAGUUCGGUAGGGGAGAUCGGAAUUCCUGGUGUAGCGGUGAAAUGCGCAGAUAUCAGGAGGAACACCGGUGGCGAAGGCGGAUCUCUGGGCCGAUACUGACGCUGAGGAGCGGAAGCGUGGGGAGCGAACAGG
rnacentral:rRNA from 1 species